GAAAUGCGAUAAUUAAUGUGAAUUGCAGAAUUCAGUGAAUCAUCGAGUCUUUGAACGCACAUUGCGCCCCCUGGUAUUCCGGGGGGCAUGCCUGUCCGAGCGUCAUUGCUGCCCUCAAGCACGGCUUGUGUGUUGGGCUUCCGUCCCUGGCAACGGGGACGGGCCCAAAAGGCAGUGGCGCCACCAUGUCUGGUCCUCGAGCGUAUGGGGCUUUGUCACCCGCUCCCGUAGGUCCAGCUGGCAGCUAGCCUCGCAACCAAUCUUUUUAACCAGGUUGACCUCGGAUCAGGUAGGGAUACCCGCUGAACUUAAGC
rnacentral:misc_RNA from 1 species